rnacentral:lncRNA from 1 species
UGUAGCACGUCCUACAGUCCCUGCACUUCAGGUGGCCCAUGAUGAUUCUUAUUACCAGAGCCGGUUUAUCCUAGUAGCACAUGUAGCACGUCCUACAGUCCCUGCACUUCAGGUGGCCCAUGGUGAUUCUUAUUACCAGAGCCGGUUUAUCCUAGUAGCACAUGUAGCAUGUCCUACAGUCCCUGCACUUCAGGUGGCCCAUGGUGAUUCUUAUUACCAGAGCCGGUUUAUCCUAGUAGCACAUGUAGCAUGUCCUACAGUCCCUAAACUUCAGGUGGCCCCGCGGUGAUUCUUAUUACCAGAGCCGGUUUAUCCUAGUAGCACAUGUAGGACGUCCUACAGUCCCUGCACUUCAGGUGGCCCAUGAUGAUUCUUAUUACCAGAGCCGGUUUAUCCUAGUAGCACAUGUAGCACGUCCUACAGUCCCUGCACUUCAGGUGGCCCAUGAUGAUUCUUAUUACCAGAGCCGGUUUAUCCUAGUAGCACAUGUAGCAUGUCCUACAGUCCCUGCACUUCAGGGGGCCCGUGGUGAUUCUUAUUACCAGAGCCGGUUUAUCCUAGUAGCACAUGUAGCACGUCCUACAGUCCCUGCACUUCAGGUGGCCCAUGAUGAUUCUUAUUACCAGAGCCGGUUUAUCCUAGUAGCACAUGUAGCACGUCCUACAGUCCCUGCACUUCAGGGGGCCCAUGGUGAUUCUUAUUACCAGAGCCGGUUUAUCCUAGUAGCACAUGUAGCACGUCCUACAGUCCCUGCACUUCAGGUGGCCCAUGAUGAUUCUUAUUACCAGAGCCGGUUUAUCCUAGUAGCACAUGUAGCAUGUCCUACAGUCCCUGCACUUCAGGGGGCCCGUGGUGAUUCUUAUUACCAGAGCCGGUUUAUCCUAGUAGCACAUGUAGCAUGUCCUACAGUCCCUGCACUUCAGGGGGCCCGUGGUGAUUCUUAUUACCAGAGCCGGUUUAUCCUAGUAGCACAUGUAGCAUGUCCUACAGUCCCUGCACUUCAGGGGGCCCCACAGUGAUUCUUAUUACCAGAGCCGGUUUAUCCUAGUAGCACAUGUAGCAUGUCCUACAGUCCCUAAACUUCAGGUGGCCCCGCGGUGAUUCUUAUUACCAGAGCCGGUUUAUCCUAGUAGCACAUGUAGGACGUCCUACAGUCCCUGCACUUCAGGGGGCCCCGCAGUGAUUCUUAUUACCAGAGCCGGUUUAUCCUAGUAGCACAUGUAGCAUGUCCUACAGUCCCUAAACUUCAGGUGGCCCUGCGGUGAUGUGUGUAUAUUGUAAAUAUAAUUAUAUUAAUUAAUGAAAUAAAAAUUUAUAAAAUAUUACUAUUUUUCCUUCACAUAUACUCAAGGUUACUAUCAAUACUUCAUUUAUUUUGUCCAGGUUAUUUUAUUACUCUCCCCAGGGGAGUUUGCAAAAUAUAUAUCCUGGGAAGGUGGCCCCACUGUUAUUUGUGCUACAGGCCCCGCGGAUCCUUAAACCAGCUCUAUUUACAAGGACCAUGCACCUAUUGUUGUGUUGACUUGGAUAGGAUAUACCAUACAAAUGAAUAAUUAUACCUUUAAUAACUAUUCAAUAUCCUUUUUCUUUUCAUAUAUACACAUGAAAACAAACAACAAUCCUAACAUAUUUAUAUCAGUUUCACCAUCUGAACUGAAGACUCGGUUACUGUUAACAUUUUCCCAUGCAACAGUUAAAGUUUGUUUUGUUUAACGACACCACUAGAGAACAUUUAUUAA